UGUUCUUAUGUGGAAUUUAUGAAAAGUCUAAAAUAAAUGAAUUUUUGCUUUUGAAUAUAUAUAGUUCGACUUAGAAUCUUUGUGAAACACCCCCUGGGGUUGCCAGUAGCUUGAUUAAGGCCUUGAUUGGAAGUACAUGUAUUACUGUAAUUUUGAUGUCAUUAUUGUUCAGAUUUCUGUAUUUUUCUUAAAUUUUAAAGUGGAAGGGAUCAGUUUGGGGUUCAUAUAUUGCUUGCCAACUAUUACCAGGCGAAAAGAAAAAAUGAGUUGGCUGAAGGUCAGUUAUUUAGACAGGUCCUUGAGAAUGUUCUUCAAUUAUUCCUUUUGUAAGCUUACUCCCUAUUCUCAUUUGUAGUGGUUUACAUUUCAGGAUACAAAUAACCUUUUCUUAAUGUUUUUGUUUGUUAUUUUGUUGAUGCUGUCAAUCAUAUGUUCAGUUUCCUCAAGGCCCCCUUCAAACGAAUUUCAGAUCAGAUUUCUUUUAUGGCUAACAAAUGUAAAGCAAUUAUCCAUUUGUACUGGCAGCUUAGGAGAAGAUGAAGGACAGUUGGACACGAAAGAUGAACGCUGCUAUAAUUUUUCCUUUCAUAAGGUAGAGAAUUUGACAAGAAGGUCAAACUAGUGUCAAAACAUGGCCAAUACCUUAGGUUUAUAUUUUCAUUUGCACGCAUUUGAACCCCUGUCAUGUUGUAAUACAUUGGAUUUCAAGUAGAUUACCUUUUUUUGGAAGGGGGGGGGGUGGGGAAAUUAUCCAUUUCCCAGAGAUGAGCAGAAUCAAACCCAUUUUCAUGUUUCUUUCUUUCUUUUUCUCUCCCUCUGUCCUUCUUUCCUUAAACCGUUGCUAUUAAUGUCACAUGCAGGGGAUUAAAGAGAAAAUAGUCAUGUUUACAUACAGUCUUGUAUUCUGUUAUGUAAUAUUCCUUUGUUAUACAUUCCACUUUUGAUAAAACAAGAAGUUUCCCAUCUACUUAGACAAUCCCACAUCGAUGAAUAUUGUAAUUUACGUUAUUUUUAUAUAUUUCAAAAAAAAAAAAUUGCAGCAAGUACGAAAUUACGUGUGACCUGUGUAAGCGGAUUUGCGGCAAUAAUGAUUUUUUUUUUUUAAUAAAGAAUUUUUUCUUUUGCCUGCGCAUCCACUAUCUUAAAAUAAAAGAAAAAACUGAUUCAUUUUACGUUCAAUGAAGAUCUACUUCUUGUCCUCAUUACUUUGUGCUAUUUUGUAUAACAACCAUCCUAUGAGCCUGAAUGCAGUACAUCAUUGUGUAGCGAUUAUGAUUAAGCCCAUUGUGUUGAUUUAUUUGUGCGCAAUAUCUUCUCUACAUAAAUUGAUUUCAAGAAGAAUCUGUGAUAGUUUUCCUCAUGAUUGGUCGUAAAAUGUGAAGAGAAAAAACAAUAAAAAGAUGGAUGUGAAAAAUAAA